GGCGGACACGUUCCACCCUCUGUAAUGCCACCGUUGGCGAUCUUAAGUCCGCAUGAAAAGGCAGAGAGAAGA
rnacentral:ribozyme from 1 species